rnacentral:rRNA from 1 species
GACGAACGCUGGCGGCGUGCCUAAUACAUGCAAGUCGAGCGGAGUUGAAGAGAUGCUUGCAUCUCUGAAACUUAGCGGCGGACGGGUGAGUAACACGUGGGUAACCUGCCUAUAAGACUGGGAUAACAUUCGGAAACGAAUGCUAAUACCGGAUACGCGAAUUGGUCGCAUGACCGAAUCGGGAAAGACGGAGCAAUCUGUCACUUAGAGAUGGACCCGCGGCGCAUUAGCUAGUUGGUGAGGUAAUGGCUCACCAAGGCGACGAUGCGUAGCCGACCUGAGAGGGUGAUCGGCACACUGGGACUGAGACACGGCCCAGACUCCUACGGGAGCAGCAGUAGGGAAUCUUCCGCAAUGGACGAAAGUCUGACGGAGCAACGCCGCGUGAGUGAUGAAGG